ensembl:lncRNA
UUUUAUCAUAGUGCAAACAAAUAAAAACUUGAAUAUGUAAUUAACCACAUUAUGUAAAACUAGCCUGUCUUUCCAAAUUGUUUCCUCUUAAUGAAUUGCAAAUGAAUGUAUUUGCUUAGAGUAUUUGGCCUGAAAAGUUUAAAAUAAGAAUUGCACAGUUUUUCUCCCUUGGUUCUUUAAAGUUCAAGUGAAGAUUCUUACUGCACACACAGGAAAGAAGAUGUAGAAGCUUGGUUGAAAUUUGUGCUUUGUCUUGUUAAUUAUUCCUUUUAUCUAGAAAGUGUGUGCAUGCUAAGUCUCUUCAGUCAUGCCCGACUCUUUGCGAUCCCAUGGACUGCAGCCCACCAGGCUCCUCUGUCCAUAGCAUUCUCCAGGCAAGAAUACGGGAAUGGGUUGCUAGGCCCUCCUCCAGGGCACCUUUGCCAUCCAGGGAUGGAACCCAUGUCUCCUGCAGCUCCUGCAUUGGGCAGGCAGCUGACUGCCCGCAUCCUCGCAGGCCCGCCUCCCCCCGUCUCCAUCUCUGCUGUGGAGGCUGAUCUUCCCUCACUUGUGUCUCUUCUCCAGCUCCCAGGUUGGAGACCUCGCUGGCUGAGGCCCGUGACUUCCUCUUCUCUGAGAGUCACUUCUUUCAUCUGCUGACGGGAGUGGUGUGGGCACGUCGCAUCCUGGAGGCAACUCAACAAAUUGAUUUUUAAUAUCUCCCCCAUGUCCUCAAAUUCCUCUUAGAAGAAUUCAGUCCUGCUGCUGUAUAAAGUUUGGAAAGCUUAGACUCUCCAGGGGCAUUCUAAACUUACUCAUAAAAUGAGAAUGGAAGAAGGUUCUCUAAAGAAAACUGUGGCCUUUAUUAUCAAAGAAAGAAGCUGAACUUUGGUGAAGACGGAGAAGCUAUUGAAAUAUUGGGGCUUAGACAAUUCUUGUGAAUUGCUUUGUCUACCCAGGUUUGAAACAGGCACCACUCUGGUUUGGUUGAUGCCGAGUUAUUGAUAUACUCUCCCAGGGUUCUGGCUGCCUGCGAUAGCCGUAAUUUCAGGAUCCUCUGAGCUAUGCAGCCAGGGUGAUGAACUCUCUUGCUGAUAACCUGAUAAUAAGCAUUUUGAUUUAUUGAUGAUUUUAUGUAUCUUAUCUCUUGUACCCAAAUAUCAACUCUUUGUGAGUAAAUGUUAUUUGUUUCUAUUGCUUCUGGAUUUUCCACAGAACCUAGCAGCUUUCUAAGAGACUAUCAGGGAUUCAAUAAAUACCUGUUGAUUGACAGCUGAUAACAUCCCCGCUUUGAGGUCUGGAAGCUAUGCAUGCAAAGGAGUUUUGAUGCGCUCUCUGCAACUCCCCUAAAAAUCAUACAUAAUGUUCAAGUCUCUUAUGAUUGAAGUGACAUGCAUGUUGGGAUUCCCUGGUAGCUCAGUGGUAAAGACCCAGCCUGCUGAUGCAGGAGAACCAUGGGCUCGAUCCCUGGGGUCAUGAAGAUCCUCUGGAGAAGGAAGUGGCAACCCACUCCAGUAUGCUCCCUGGGGAAUCUCAUGGACAGAAGCAGCCUGGCAGGCUACAGCCCAUGGGGUCGCAAGAGUCGGAUAUGCCUUAGUGACAAAACAACAACAUUC